rnacentral:lncRNA from 1 species
AGCAGUCCCAUACGUUCCAGUAGUAACGCCUGGUAAUUGCUCAUCUGCAUAAGCCGUGAUAACGGACUGUACGUGACUGAGUUUAAGAGGCAACGGCUGAACAUGUGCGAGCGGACUCGUCUAGCGAGCGAUGCUAACAGAUUUUUUCAAGCAUAAAGAUAUCCUGACUUACAGAGGGAGGGGCCGACAAGGACGCUGGCAGCCUCCCGAAGACCUCGGCCUCUGUGAGCGAAAAAGGAAGAACAAGCGUGAAGCCUGCAUCCUGCAAAUUCAGCUACUAGAGCAGGCGACUAGUCGCUGAAGGCGCUAGAGAACAAUCACUAGACGCACCCGUCCGCAUUGUCGCAAACUCGACUGUCUCAUUCCACCCUCUAUGUGCAGUGCCAUCUCCAGCUGACAGCGGCCCUCUUUGGCUUGGGGGCAACCGGCUCGGAAAAGAACCCAUUCUGGCGGACUUCUAAGGAAGACUUCAAUUGUAGGCCAAUGUAUCUGUUUGAGUAGUUUAUGGGAUAGUUGUUCUGGUUGUUGUGUGCUUGGGGCUCUAUUCUCGCUGGCC